rnacentral:snRNA from 1 species
GCAAGCCUAGAUUCAACA